rnacentral:tRNA from 1 species
AUUUCUAUAGUUGAAUAACAACGAUGGCUUUUCAAGUCGUAGGUCUUGGGUAAGAACCAAGUGGAAAU